CUCUGUGACUGGCUUGCUUGAUGGUUAGGGUCUGAUCGCUGCCUGAGACACCAUAUCGGUACUCCUCAGAGUUGAGAAUAGACGCCUUGAUGGCUCCUCUGGCAGUUCUUGAUGACCAUGGAUGAGCUAAUGGCUGUGGUCUCAAUGGUGGCUUCUUGAGUUACAUCUUUGAGAGGGGUGAGGAAUUUGAGCCGGAUUCCUAUCAAGAAAAAAAAGAAAGAACUUAUUAAUUGAAGCACUUUAAAGAAGAAAUAUAAAACUAAAGGCAAAAAAAAUGAUUUUGGGGUGGACUAUUUGAUAAAACUAUUUACCUUCAAUGAUCAGUUUGCCACUUGUGUGCUUAUCUUCAGCUUCAAACAUGUAUUUUGCUUCAUCUUCAAAAGCAGCUGACUUGAUCACCAUUGAAUGCUUAGUGCCAUCCUUUAUAAGCUCAAAUCUGUCAUCACCUGUGAUUUCCUGGGUUCCUUUUAGCCAACGGAAUGUUUUGGGCUCCCUGGAUACUUCACACUCAAACUUAGCCUCAUCUUUCUCGAAGACUUUAACAUCACUGAGAGGUGUGAUGAAGAUAAGAGGCAAUUCUGAAAGAAGUGGACAGUGGAUGAAGUCAGAAUACGUUUCCAUUGAUGACCCUUGAUCAAUGCAGGGGUGUAUCAGGAAGUCUUGCAGAGAAAAUACAAAAACGUGGCUGACAAGUAGAGCAUACCUUUCACUUUCAGAUUGGCUGCAGAUUUGGCAUUAGCAGCCUGGAAGGAAACCUCUCCUGUCAUACCCAGCUGACAGUUAUGAAGGAUCAGAAUAUGCUUCUUUCCAUCCUCAAUGAUUUCACAGUCCUGUUUGGAGUGAGGGUUAGAAGGAAAGAAAGAA
rnacentral:ncRNA from 2 species